rnacentral:misc_RNA from 1 species
UACGAAGGUCCCAAGCGUUAUCCGGUGUUAUUAGGCGUAAAGCGUCCGCAGGUGGCUGCGCGCAUCUCCGGUCAAAUCCCACGGCCCAACCGUGGAACCGCCGGAGAGAUGGCGCAGCUUGAGGCAGGGAGAGGCAUGUGGAAUGGCUGGUGUAGGAGUAAAAUCCGUUAAUCUCAGCCAGAACACCAAAAGCGAAGGCAGCAUGCUGGAACUGUCCUGACACUCAGGGACGAAAGCGUGGGUAGCGAAUGGG